AUGUAGUAUAGCAUGUCCGUUUGGUGAAUUACUCUGAUGUUGUGUAUUUAAUUACUAUUAUAUUACUUUUGGGUAACGGGGUGUUACAAGUACA
rnacentral:pre_miRNA from 1 species